GUAGGCAGGCAAGGAAAAGGGUGUCCGACGAUUGGGGCCGUUACCACGGGCGUUUGACCGACUGUAACUCAUGCAGUUCUUGGCUGACAUGCAGGAUAACAACACGAUUUGUAGACGCUACUGUCCUCUGAACGAUGCGCUUAUCCGAUGAACGGGGUAUGCAAGGCUCUGCACAGUUUUCGAUCUCACUCUAAACAGAGAAGAGUAGGGACUGCGUUCAAAAACGGAUAACUGAGAACUCGCGUCCGGAAUAUGAUGGUAUUCGAGGAACGGAGCCGCGUUCUACUUAUACCAGGC